CCUACGGGGGGCAGCAGUGAGGAAUAUUGGUCAAUGGACGAGAGUCUGAACCAGCCAAGUAGCGUGAAGGAUGACUGCCCUAUGGGUUGUAAACUUCUUUUAUAUGGGAAUAAAAUGUUCCACGUGUGGGAUUUUGUAUGUACCAUAUGAAUAAGGAUCGGCUAACUCCGUGCCAGCAGCCGCGGUAAUACGGAGGAUCCGAGCGUUAUCCGGAUUUAUUGGGUUUAAAGGGAGCGUAGGUGGCAUGUUAAGUCAGUUGUGAAAGUUUGCGGCUAAACCGUAAAAUUGCAGUUGAAACUGGCAGUCUUGAGUACAGUAGAGGUGGGCGGAAUGCGUGGUGUAGCGGUGAAAUGCUUAGAUAUCACGAAGAACUCCGAUUGCGAAGGCAGUUCACUGGACUGCAACUGACACUGAGGCUCGAAAGUGUGGGUAUCAAACAGGAUUAGAUACCCUUGUAGUC
rnacentral:rRNA from 1 species